UACGUAGGGGGCAAGCGUUGUCCGGAUUUAUUGGGCGUAAAGAGCGUGUAGGCGGCCCGGUCAGUCCGCUGUGAAAGUCGGGGGCUCAACCCUCGAAUGCCGGUGGAUACUGUCGGGCUAGAGUGCGGAAGAGGCGAGUGGAAUUCCUGGUGUAGCGGUGAAAUGCGCAGAUAUCAGGAGGAACACCAAUUGCGAAGGCAGCUCGCUGGGACGUAACUGACGCUGAGACGCGAAAGCGUGGGGAGCAAACAGG
rnacentral:rRNA from 1 species